CUUUGUAGAGUAAACUUUAAGAACUCAGCCAACACGCCUCGUCUGCAUCUUUUAUGAUUAGACAAGACAACACAUAUAUUUUCAAGGCCAUUUUCAAGAAGGAUAUGUAAAGAGAAACUACAUCUUGUGAGACCAUGUCGGCCAACCCCGGAAGCUCGAAUGGGUGCUACAGAUUGAAGCUGCGACGUGCUGGACUGGCUCCUACAGAUGUGUUGUGAAGGGCACCCUCAGCAUCGCAGUGUGGCGUAAAAGCCGCCCAGAUGACGGCCGUAGACUUUGGAGCAUCCAGAGUAGGACCACUCGACUGAAGAACAGCUUCUUUCCGGAAGCUGCUAGACUGCUGAAUUCCGAUGGUGCUCUGUAGCAAUAGAGUUGUGUGAAAACAGAGCAGUUGUCUGAAAAAAGAAGAUGAUUAUGAAUUGCAAGCUUCAAGCUGAAUUUUGAUGUGAAUAAUGUUUGUAAGAUCUCAAAUAGCUCAUUUAAUUUUGUAUCUGUGUGUAAUUAUGUGGACUACAUUGUCACCUGCCUUUGUUAUGACCUGUCAGCUCAUAUUCUGUAUUAUAUAUUUGUUAUUAUUUCUCCUUUGUCGACUGUUCAUUUCUGUUCCAGCGCUCCCUUAGUUGCCAUGGACACUGAUCUUCUGCACCUUGCUCUGAUUAGUGGUCGGGAUGCUCACCUGCUCCUGAUCCCUAAUCAGAGAGCUAUUUUUACCUGCCUCGCGGUCCACUCAGCCUGACAGUCUUGUUCACUAUAUGCGACUGUUUAUGUUUGCUUUGU